rnacentral:lncRNA from 10 species
GAGCCGCUUCAUCCUCUACUCGGUGUAACUAUCUCUGAGAUUCCACAUCCUUUGAGAUUAAAAACACUUUACAUCUUCUGGGUCUGUUGACGGGUCCUUCCACCAAUCACAUCGCUGUGCUUCUGUGACAACUGAACACAACUGGAAGUGAAAAACAACUCCUCAUUCAAAGGGGUUUAACAACUUGAACAGAUCUCUUCAGAACCGGGAAAACAUCUCCUUUUGUUGACAUCACAUGAAGGUUGAAGUCCGCUGUCAGGACCAUGUUUAAGGAUCUCAAUUGCCAUGUGGAUAAG